rfam:Theobroma cacao cultivar Matina 1-6 chromosome 4, whole genome shotgun sequence.
AGACUAUGAUGAAGACAACAUCGAAGUAAUUCUUUGUAUCUUUCCCAAGCUUCAUACAACGAUUCAGAAUCUUGCUGCAUAAAUGAUGUGAUAUCAUUCGUCACUUU